GCGAGAUGCUGGAUGGCUAUCGGCACCUCAGGUGCUGAGGAAACUCCGCCCACGCCGUGGCACCAGAGCACCGUAACGGUGCAUGGCGAGAGCCAUGCUCCUGGCACAGAAACGAGGCACGGAAGGGCAUAUGAGGGGGAGACCAAGCGGUUGACGAGCCCUUGCCGUGGUGAAAUGGCCAGCCUCUGGCGUGCAAGGGCAAGCAUCACCAAUGAGAGCCACGGGGAGGUGAAGGUAGCCCGCUUAGUUAAAUGCCAUCUAGAACAGAAGGCGGGUUACGGGCAUCACGC
rnacentral:RNase_P_RNA from 1 species